rnacentral:rRNA from 2 species
CCGCGCGAAGGUAGCGUAAUCACUUGUUUUUUAAAUAAAGACUAGUAUGAACGGCCACACGAGGACCUAACUGUCUCCUUUGUCCAAUCAGUGAAACUGAUCUCCUCGUGCAGAAGCGAGGAUUUUACCAUAAGACGAGAAGACCCUAUGGAGCUUUAAACUUUUAUUAAUUAUUUUCUUCACCCCUCUAAGGAGCUAACAACUAAUACAAUUAACUUAAUAAAAGUUUUAGGUUGGGGCGACCAUGGAGAAGAAAAGAUCCUCCCUGAUGAAUUCCUAACCAAGAGCCACAGCUCUAAGUAUUAAGACACUUAACUUCUAUUGACCCAUUUUAUGAUCAACGAACCAAGUUACCCUAGGGAUAACAGCGCAAUCCAUUUCAAGAGUCCCUAUCGAC